GAUGAACGCUAGCGGCAGGCUUAACACAUGCAAGUCGAGGGGCAGCAUGACACGGAGAUUCGUCGAAGUGUUGAUGGCGACCGGCGCAAGGGUGCGUAACGCGUGAGCAACUUGCCCGUUUCAGGGGGAUAACCGGUGGAAACGCCGACUAAUACCCCAUAGUAUUGUGAAGAGGCAUCUUUUUGCAAUUAAAGAACUUCGGAAACGGAUAGGCUCGCGUGACAUUAGCUAGAUGGCGGGGUAACGGCCCACCAUGGCGACGAUGUCUAGGGGUUCUGAGAGGAAGGUCCCCCACACUGGAACUGAGACACGGUCCAGACUCCUACGGGAGGCAGCAGUGAGGAAUAUUGGUAAAUGGUCGAGAGACUGAACCAGCCAUGCCGCGUGAAGGUCACGGCCCUAUGGGUCUUAAACUUCUUUUGUAAGGGAGCAAUAAGGUGUACGUGUACAUCGAUGAGAGUACCCUACGAAUAAGCAUCGGCUAACUCCGUGCCAGCCGCCGCGGUAACAC
rnacentral:rRNA from 1 species